GACGAACGCUGGCGGCGUGCUUAACACAUGCAAGUCGAACGGAAAGGCCCUGCUUUUGUGGGGUGCUCGAGUGGCGAACGGGUGAGUAACACGUGAGUAACCUGCCCUUGACUUUGGGAUAACUUCAGGAAACUGGGGCUAAUACCGGAUAGGAGCUCCUGCUGCAUGGGGGGGGGUGGAAAGGGUCGGCGGUUGGGGAUGGACUCGCUGCUUAUCAGCUGGGUGGUGGGGUAGUGGCUUACCAAGGCGUUGACGGGUAGCCGGCCUGAGGGGGUGACCGGCCACAUUGGGACUGAGAUACUGCCCAGACUCCUACGGGAGGCAGCAGCGGGGAAUAUUGCACAAUGGGCGGACGCCUGAUGCAGCAACGCCGCGUGCGGGAGGUCGGCCUUCUGGUUCUAAACCGCUUUCGCCUGUGCCGAAGCGUGAGUGACGGUAAUGGGUAAAGAAGCACCGGCUAACUACGUG
rnacentral:rRNA from 1 species